CUUGCCCAAGGUAAGGAAUAACGUCGAGAAUCGGCGCUAAUACCUCAUAAUGCAGCGGAUCCGCAUGGAUAUGUUGUUAAAGGUUUACCGCCUUGGGAUAGGCUUGCGUCUGAUUAGCUAGUUGGUGUGGUAAUGGCACACCAAGGCUACGAUCAGUAACUGGUCUGAGAGGAUGAUCAGUCACACUGGAACUGAGACACGGUCCAGACUCCUACGGGAGGCAGCAGUGAGGAAUAUUGGGCAAUGCACGAAAGUGUGACCCAGCAACGCCGCGUGGAGGAUGAAGGUAUUCUAUAUCGUAAACUCCUGUGAGAGCAGACGAAAGACAGAUUAUUAAUUUGGAUGACUGUAUGCUCAGAGGAAGCCCCGGCUAACUACGUG
rnacentral:rRNA from 1 species